rnacentral:rRNA from 1 species
GAUAACGCUGGCGGCGUGCCUAAUGCAUGCAAGUCGAACGGGUCGCAGCUUCGGCUGUGGUCAGUGGCGGACGGGUGAGGAACACGUACGCAACCUGCCCUCUGGUGGGGAAUAACCUUCGAAGAGGGCUAAUGCCGCAUCCGCUCACCUGGUAAGGCUGGGUGAGGAAAGCCCGUGAGGGCGCUGGAGGAGGGCGUGCGGCCGAUUAGCUAGUUGGU